GUAGUUGUAGCUCAGUGGUAGAGCACUAGCAUGCACGAGGCCCUGAGUUUAAUUCUUAGCAACAAAA
rnacentral:tRNA from 1 species